UACGUGAGGGGCGAACGUUGUUCGGUGUCACUGGGCUUAAAGGGCGCGUAGGUGGUUGCGUAAGUAACGUGUGAAAUCCCUCGGCUUACCCGGGGAAUUGCGCGUUAUACUGCGUGACUUGAGGAUCUCAGGGGAAUGGGGAACUCCAGGUGUAGCGGUGAAAUGCGCAGAUAUCUGGGGGAAGGCCGGCGGCGAAGGCGCCAUUCUGGGAGAUACCUGACACUGAGGCGCGAAAGCGUGGGGAGCAAACAGG
rnacentral:rRNA from 1 species